CCAGAAACUACAACAGGUACUAAACCAGGCACAACACCAGGAACAACACCGGUUACAAUACCUGAAACAACACCAGAAACUACAACAGGUACUACACCAGGCACAACACCAGUAACAACACCAGUUACAAUACCUGAAACAACACCAGAAACUGCAACAGGUACUACACCAGGCACAACACCAGGAACAACACCGGUUACAAUAACUGAAACAACACCAGAAACUACAACAGGUACUAAACCAGGCACAACACCAGGGACAACAUCAGG